rnacentral:rRNA from 1 species
AGAGUUUGAUUAUGGCUCAGGACGAACGCUGGCGGCGUGCUUAACACAUGCAAGUCGAGCGAUGAAGCUUCUUCGGAAGUGGAUUAGCGGCGGACGGGUGAGUAACACGUGGGUAACCUGCCUCAUAGAGGGGAAUAGCCUUCCGAAAGGAAGAUUAAUACCGCAUAAGAUUGUAAUAUCGCAUGAUAUAGCAAUUAAAGGAGUAAUCCGCUAUGAGAUGGACCCGCGUCGCAUUAGCUAGUUGGUGAGGUAACGGCUCACCAAGGCGACGAUGCGUAGCCGACCUGAGAGGGUGAUCGGCCACAUUGGGACUGAGACACGGCCCAGACUCCUACGGGAGGCAGCAGUGGGGAAUAUUGCACAAUGGGGGAAACCCUGAUGCAAGCAACGCCGCGUGAGUGAUGACGGUCUUCGGAUUGUAAAGCUCUGUCUUCAGGGACGAUAAUGACGGUACCUGAGGAGGAAGCCACGGCUAACUACGUGCCAGCCGCGGC